AAGCACUUGCUGCGUAAGCCCACGCCGGUCGAAGAUACCAGGCCGCUGCGACUGUUUAUUAAAAACACAGCACUCUGCAAACACGAAAGUGGACGUAUAGGGUGUGACGCCUGCCCGGUGCCGGAAGGUUAAUUGAUGGGGUUAGCUAACGCGAAGCUCUUGAUCGAAGCCCCGGUAAACGGCGGCCGUAACUAUAACGGUCCUAAGGUAGCGAAAUUCCUUGUCGGGUAAGUUCCGACCUGCACGAAUGGCGUAACGAUGGCGGCGCUGUCUCCACCCGAGACUCAGUGAAAUUGAAAUCGCUGUGAAGAUGCAGUGUAUCCGCGGCUAGACGGAAAGACCCCGUGAACCUUUACUAUAGCUUUGCACUGGACUUUGAAUUUGCUUGUGUAGGAUAGGUGGGAGGCUUUGAAGCGUGGACGCCAGUUCGCGUGGAGCCAUCCUUGAAAUACCACCCUGGCAACUUUGAGGUUCUAACUCAGGUCCGUUAUCCGGAUCGAGGACAGUGUAUGGUGGGUAGUUUGACUGGGGCGGUCUCCUCCUAAAGAGUAACGGAGGAGUACGAAGGUGCGCUCAGACCGGUCGGAAAUCGGUCGUAGAGUAUAAAGGCAAAAGCGCGCUUGACUGCGAGACAGACACGUCGAGCAGGUACGAAAGUAGGUCUUAGUGAUCCGGUGGUUCUGUAUGGAAGGGCCAUCGCUCAACGGAUAAAAGGUACUCCGGGGAUAACAGGCUGAUACCGCCCAAGAGUUCAUAUCGACGGCGGUGUUUGGCACCUCGAUGUCGGCUCAUCACAUCCUGGGGCUGAAGCCGGUCCCAAGGGUAUGGCUGUUCGCCAUUUAAAGUGGUACGCGAGCUGGGUUUAGAACGUCGUGAGACAGUUCGGUCCCUAUCUGCCGUGGACGUUUGAGAUUUGAGAGGGGCUGCUCCUAGUACGAGAGGACCGGAGUGGACGAACCUCUGGUGUUCCGGUUGUCACGCCAGUGGCAUUGCCGGGUAGCUAUGUUCGGGAAAGAUAACCGCUGAAAGCAUCUAAGCGGGAAACUUGCCUCAAGAUGAGAUCUCACUGGGACCUUGAGUCCCCUGAAGGGCCGUCGAAGACUACGACGUUGAUAGGCAGGGUGUGUAAGCGCUGUGAGGCGUUGAGCUAACCUGUACUAAUUGCCCGUGAGGCUUGACCAUA
rnacentral:rRNA from 1 species